rnacentral:rRNA from 1 species
AGUUUGAUUCUGGCUCAGGAUGAACGCUAGCGGCAGGCUUAACACAUGCAAGUCGAGGGGCAACGCGAGUAGCAAUACUUGGCGGCGACCGGCGCAAGGGUGCGUAACGCGUGAGCAACAUGCCCGUAUCAGGGGGAUAAUCCAGGGAAACUUGGUCUAAUACCCCAUAGUAAUUUUGUAAGGCAUCUUAUAAGAUUUAAAGCUUUGGUGGAUACGGAUUGGCUCGCGUGACAUUAGCUGGAUGGUAAGGUAACGGCUUACCAUGGCUAUGAUGUCUAGGGGUUCUGAGAGGAAGGUCCCCCACACUGGAACUGAGACACGGUCCAGACUCCUACGGGAGGCAGCAGUGAGGAAUAUUGGACAAUGGAUGGAAAUCUGAUCCAGCCAUGCCGCGUGAAAAGGAAGAAGGUCCUAUGGAUUGUAAACUUCUUUUGUAUGGGAGCAAUAAGGCCUACGAGUAGGUUGAUGAGAGUACCAUACGAAUAAGCACCGGCUAACUCCGUGCCAGCAGCUGC